UACGUAGGGUGCAAGCGUUGUCCGGAAUUAUUGGGCGUAAAGAGCUCGUAGGCGGUCUGUCGCGUCUGCUGUGAAAACUCAGGGCUUAACCCUUGAAUGCCGGUGGAUACUGUCGGGCUAGAGUCCGGAAGAGGCGAGUGGAAUUCCUGGUGUAGCGGUGAAAUGCGCAGAUAUCAGGAGGAACACCGAUGGCGAAGGCAGCUCGCUGGGACGGUACUGACGCUGAGACGCGAAAGCGUGGGGAGCGAACAGG
rnacentral:rRNA from 1 species